rnacentral:rRNA from 1 species
UAAGGAAUCUUCCACAAUGGACGAAAGUCUGAUGGAGCAACGCCGCGUGCAGGAUGACGGUCUUCGGAUUGUAAACUGCUUUUAUGAGAGAAGAUUAUGACGGUAUCUCAUGAAUAAGGACCGGCUAACUACGUGCCAGCAGCCGCGGUAAUACGUAGGGUCCAAGCGUUAUCCGGAAUCACUGGGCGUAAAGCGUGCGUAGGCGGGAGUUUAAGUGUGAUGUUAAAUCGUGUGGCUCAACCAUAUCGAUGCAUCACAUACUGGAUUCCUAGAGGACGGCAGAGGCAAGUGGAAUUGGCAGUGUAGCAGUGAAAUGCGUAGAGAUUGCCAGGAACACCAAUGGCGAAGGCAGCUUGCUGGGCCGACCCUGACGCUGAGGCACGAAAGCGUGGGGAGCGAACAGGAUUAGAUACCCGCGUAGUCC